UGCUCUGGCUGGAGUUACUGCUAUACUCCGCCAUGUUGAGCCGCUUUGUUUUUGCCGCUCAGUCUGACUGAGAGGGGCGUGGCCUGGGGGCGUGGCCUGGGGGGAAGUGACAGAUGUGCAUUCACUCUGUAGAGUUAUGAACAAUUCUUUGAAAGGUCAUUCUGAGGUCAGCUCCAUAACUAUGAUAGCACAAAUGAAAAUGUGAACGGCACAAACCAGCACAAACGAAUGAGACUAUUUAUCCACAGGUUUUGGUUGGGGGGGGGGGGGGGGCAACUUCAUGCAGGUUUGACCAGGACUCUUGUGUUAUAGUGGACUCUGGAGGACUGGGUUAACACUGGAUAUAGAUUUGGUUUGGAGCCAGGGCUUUACCUCAGACCAGUUCAACCACGUCAGCCCUGGUUCUGGUUCUGGUUCCACCAAACCACCUGCAUCCCAUAAACUACUGUUAGAGGAGAUGCUGGAUUAUUUAUUUUUGACUUAGUGAAGGUCAGUUUGCUGUGACAGAAAUAAGUGUAAAUAAGGACAGGUGGGACCGUCUGCACGGGGGGGGUCAGGUUCCACUACAUUUCACACAUUCAUCCCACGGACCGGACCGAACCGGACCCUUAGGUGGGCCGGAUUUGCCCCCCCGGGCAGGUUUGACACCCCUGGUCUACACUCAAGUUCCAAGUUGUGACAAAAUUCAGAUAGAAUUCCUGCUUUUUUUUUUCCAGCCUUUCUUCCUGAACUUCCAGGUGGUGGUUUUCCUUCUGUAGAUCUACAGCAGCAGAGUUUAAAUGUUUUAACGUAGGGUCGGCUUUAAGAGGAGGCGGAGUUUAAAUGUUUUAACGUAGGGUCGGCUUUAAGAGGAGGCGGAGUUUAAAUGUUUUAACGUAGGGUCGGCUUUAAGAGGAGGCAGAGUUUAAAUGUUUUAACGUAGGGUCGGCUUUAAGAGGAGGCGGAGUUUAAAUGUUUUAACGUAGGGUCGGCUUUAAGAGGAGGCAGAGUUUAAAUGUUUUAACGUAGGGUCGGCUUUAAGAGGAGGCGGAGUUUAAAUGUUUUAACGUAGGGUCGGUUUUAAGAGGAGGCGGAGUUUAAAUGUUUUAACGUAGGGUCGGCUUUAAGAGGAGGCGGAGUUUAAAUGUUUUAACGUAGGGUCGGCUUUAAGAGGAGGCGGAGUUUAAAUGUUUUAACGUAGGGUCGGCUUUAAGAGGAGGCGGAGUUUAAAUGUUUUAACGUAGGGUCGGCUUUAAGAGGAGGCGGAGUUUAAAUGUUUUAACGUAGGGUCGGCUUUAAGAGGAGGCGGAGUUUAAAUGUUUUAACGUAGGGUCGGCUUUAAGAGGAGGCGGAGUUUAAAUGUUUUAACGUAGGGUCGGCUUUAAGAGGAGGCGGUGCGAGGUUGAACUCAGGGUUGAGGUCAGAGCAAUAAUACAUGCAGGGGUCACCCAGGUGUCCAGGGUCAGGGUGACCCAGGUGUCCCGGGUCAGGGUGACCAGGUGUCCCGGGUCAGGGUCACCCAGGUGUCCCGGGUCAGGGUGACCAGGUGUCCCGGGUCAGGGUCACCCAGGUGUCCCGGGUCAGGGUCACCCAGGUGUCCCGGGUCCAGACUCCCUGUUCCACCCAUGAAACCACUUCAUUUCUCCUGAAUGGUCUUCCUGUCUUUCUUCUACAUUUGGUUUGAUGACAGAAUAGUUUUCGAAGUUCAGCUGAUUGUAAAUCUAAACAUACUCAUGUGUACCAGGACCAUUUUUCAUGUAAAUCACUGUUUUUGUUCAAUUAAUGACUAUUUGAAGAAGUCUAUCAUUUUCUAUCCUAAUCUUCACUUUGGUUUGACAGAUCCUUUCUCUGGAUGAACUUUGUGAACCCACUGCAGGUGAACGCUGUGGGGCUUCUGGGAAAAAAAACACUGUAGAUCUUGUAGAUCUUGAAUCAUUCAAGCUUUGUAAGAACUGGGUGACUAAAGGAUGAUGCAUUUACUGGCUUUUUUCAAUGUUCUGAAGAUUAAAUCUAUGCAAGAUUCUGA